rnacentral:rRNA from 1 species
GACGAACGCUGGCGGCGUGCUUAACACAUGCAAGUCGAACGGAAAGGCCCUGCUUUUGUGGGGUGCUCGAGUGGCGAACGGGUGAGUAACACGUGAGUAACCUGCCCUUGACUUUGGAUAACUUCAGGAAACUGGGGCUAAUACCGGAUAGGAGCUCCUGCUGCAUGGUGGGGGUUGGAAAGUUUUGGCGGUUGGGGAUGGACUCGCGGCUUAUCAGCUUGUUGGUGGGGUAGUGGCUUACCAAGGCUUUGACGGGUAGCCGGCCUGAGAGGGUGACCGGCCACAUUGGGACUGAGAUACGGCCCAGACUCCUACGGGAGGCAGCAGUGGGGAAUAUUGCACAAUGGGCGGAAGCCUGAUGCAGCAACGCCGCGUGCGGGAUGACGGCCUUCGGGUUGUAAACCGCUUUCGCCUGUGACGAAGCGUGAGUGACGGUAAUGGGUAAAGAAGCACCGGCUAACUACGUG